UACGUAGGGAGCAAGCGUUGUCCGGAAUCACUGGGCGUAAAGGGCGCGUAGGCGGCUCUCUUGGUCGUGGGUGAAAUCCCCCAGCUUAACUGGGGAAGGGCUUACGAUACCGGGGGGCUCGAGGGGGGAAGGGGCGGUCGGAACUGUCGGUGGAGCGGUGAAAUGCGUUGAUAUCGACAGGAACGCCGGUGGCGAAAGCGGACCGCUGGCCCUCUUCUGACGCUGAGGCGCGAAAGCCAGGGGAGCGAACGGG
rnacentral:rRNA from 1 species